rnacentral:lncRNA from 1 species
UGAAGGAGUACCAGGAGCUGCUGAACAUCAAGAUUGCCCUGGAUGUGGAGAUUGCCAUGUACAGGAAGCUGCUGGAGGGAGAGGAGAACAGGUACCAUUCUUUAUUUGUGUCUAUUUGACUAAACCAUUCUUGAUAGACUAUUCUAUGUGUGGAUUGGGUCUUGUCCUAACCCACUGGAGAUUAAAGUCAUAUUUUAAACAUGCUUUAAUUCUUAGCCCUACUCAAAAAUGUUUUGCAUCUUUCUUAUAAGAGGUGGCUUUGGUGUUGCUUAUUUGUGUUAAGAAAUAAUUGGGAAAAUCAGAAAGAAUUUGGAAAAUACAUACAGUAAAUAAAAAAGGAAAAUCUCAGCUGAAAAAGCUUGCACUUCCAGUAAGACUAACUGGUACUGUUUUCAUUUUCAGGCUUUGCAACGACGGCAUGUCCAACGUGAAUGUCUGUAAGUAUCCUCAGUUGUUUCCUUGUGGAGUCGCAGUGGGCUGUGUAUUUUGGAGAAGCAAUGUGCCACGGCCCCAUGCAUAACCUGUGCUUCUCUUCCAGCUGUGGUAGGCAGGACCACCAUGUCCGGAGGCCGAGGAGGCAUGGGAGGAGGCUUCGGAGGCAGCGGCAUGGGAGGAGGCUUCGGCGGCAGCGGCAUGGGAGGAGGAGUAUGUGGAGUAGGAGGAGGCUUCUCUUCUGGAAGUGGAAGGAUGUGCGCGUCUGGAGGUGGCAACUUCAGCUCCGGUGGGGGAUCCUCCUCCGUCCGCAGAUGUGUCACAACCACCUCCGUCAAGUCUUCAGGAGUAAGGUUCUGAGCCCUGAAGGCAGAUCGAGAAACAAAAGAAGCUUCUCCUCCCCUCUCCUGGCAGCAGCCCAGCCUCCUUAAAUCCGACUCCAGUAUCCCGCAAGGAAACGAACUGUGUCCCUCUCGGUCCACCACCUACCCGCUGGGCCUCCGGGCUCCUUCGCAGGAGGGGAGCCUCGUGGCCGUGCCACACUGCUCACUAGCCCCAUGCCCAGCGAUGAAUAACUGAGCAAAGAAAAGUGUCUCGUGUGGAUACCCAGUGCGGAGAGCUGAUUUAAAGGAGGGAAAUGCUCUGCCUUUCUUGCUGCCUUGUACAUUUCUAGCUGCCUUGUGGCAAACGUGUAUAAAAACACUCUCUGUGCCUAUUCCGUCAGGUUGCUUCCUAGAUGGCCGUAUCCCUGGGGUGCUUCUGCAUGCAGUACAUCCUGCUUCCAUUCACUUGUGCUGCGGGGCAUGGCAGGCAGGGGCAAGUGGACUCCUCCCUUGGCAGAGCCGGGGAGCGAGCAGCCUCUCUGCAGGCGACCAGAGGGACAAAUUGUCCCGGGGCGAAGCACCUGGGCAGCUUUAGGUGCUUGGAGUCUCCUGCUAGACGCAGGAGCACUCUCGAGCCGUGGCUUCGGGCUCCACUUGCCCUUGCUCCAUGGUACCUGCUGACACCUCCUGCCCGCGUGGACUCUUUGCAAAGAAAACCAAACUUGCUUUUCUGCGCUAGGCCCGCUGUGACAUGGAACCAGAUGUACUGUGCCCCCUCCUUUCCUUUCUGUGUGUGAUAUGUCCUUGGGAUGUUGCCAUUCUCAAUAAAUUGCAGAGAACAUUCA